GCUGCACACUGUUAAAGCUCAGGGUGGAGGCCAGUCUUGGCCAGUGAACUUCUGAGUGUCGGAAGUGUGCUAUAUCAAUGGCAGGGUGUUCGCUAACACCAGUAGAGCUCGCCUCUGUGACUGGAGUUUGAUAGUACUCGCUGCCACAUCC
ensembl:snoRNA SNORA62 Small nucleolar RNA SNORA62/SNORA6 family